rnacentral:rRNA from 1 species
GACGAACGCUGGCGGCGUGCUUAACACAUGCAAGUCGAACGGAGAGGCCCUGCUUUUGUGGGGUGCUCGAGUGGCGAACGGGUGUGUAACACGUGAGUAACCUGCCCUUGACUUUGGGAUAACUUCAGGAAACUGGGUCUAAUACCGGAUAGGAGCUCCUGCUGCAGGGUGGGGGUUGGAGAGUUUCGGCGGUUGGGGAUGGACUCGCGGCUUAUCAGCUUGUUGGUGGGGUAGUGGCUUACCAAGGCUUUGACGGGUAGCCGGCCUGAGAGGGUGACCGGCCACACUGGGACUGAGAUACGGCCCAGACUCCUACGGGAGGCAGCAGUGGGGAAUAUUGCACAAUGGGCGGAAGCCUGAUGCAGCAACGCCGCGUGCGGGAUGACGGCCUUCGGGUUGUAAACCGCUUUCGCCUGUGACGAAGCGUGAGUGACGGUAAUGGGUAAAGAAGCACCGGCUAACUACGUG